rnacentral:tRNA from 1 species
ACUAUUUUGGCAGAAAAAUGUGAUGAUUUUAGAAUUCAUAAAUAUAUAAUUAUAAUUAUAUAGGUAGUA